GAGAGAAUGAAAGUGACCGAACGUUGGAUCUGAGAUGAGGCAAACAGAAGACCAGUCUAAAAAGUAGACACAAACCUGUUCAGAGAAGAAGCAAAUUUGUACAGAUUGGAUGAAUUCUAAGUUAUCUGUCUGCUGAGUAAGAUGAUCCUAACUAUUAAAUUGGCUCAGUAGUAGUAUAGUGAUAUACACUAAUAAAAUAUUGUAAUAUACUAAUGUUAUUAUAUAGAAAGAAAAAGAUGAUAAUAAUAAGAAGUAACCUAGUCAGUUAUGAUGUGAGAUGGACAAUUGUUAUGAAGUAGUCUGCAUCAAGCUUAAGGCUUGCUCAAACUCAGUAUAAUGACAUAGGAGAUGAAGAAAAUAAAGGAAAUAUCUAAACUAAUUAGGUGCAUAGAGGCACUUGACAUGCUUGAAAACCUGUCAUUUACCCUGGAUAAAAUAUUACUGAGAUAUAGAGCACAUCUAUAGUAACAACUAAUAAGCCAAACCCUGUUGACAACAGCUAAAGUUACAGGAUUGUGAAGCUGAAUUAAAUAUGUGGACACCGCUAAGUUGAUGAGCAUGUUACACAUUUUCUUUUACUUUUUAUUUAUUUGUUUUUAGAGCAGAAGCUGCAUAAAAGCCAACACAUGCAGCUGUCUGUGAGCUCAGUUUUCCCUCACACGUCUGCUCUGUUUCAGUAGCAGCAUUUUUCUUUUUGGGUCCUGACUCAUGUAUGUUUUCUGUUUUGUUUGAUUAUUUUAUUUUGUUGAUUUGGAAACAAAUUUGUGACCAUACUUAUGGAUCACAGUGACACAUAGUGAUUAGGCAUAUGAUUUUGUCAUGGUCCCCGUGCCUGCUCGGCUGGCCCUGUGUGGCUACAUGUUAUGUUUUGUCUUUUCUCUCUCUCCUCUCUCUCUGCUCGCUGCCUGGGCGGAGCUCAUUGUGAGCUCCCGGCCUCCACCACCUGUAGGCAAUCACCUGUGGCUCCUCACCUUGUUUGCUCCUGCUACUUAAGGCAGUGACUGAGAGCACCUCGCCGCUGGACUAUUGAAUAACGCUCAUUUCUCGUGUUUGGUUUGGAGACUCUGGACGCUUUUCCCGACCCCGCUCUGCACCCCUGGGAACCCUG
ensembl:lncRNA